rnacentral:rRNA from 1 species
UCUCUAGAAGGCAUCUGAAAGAGAUUAAAGAUUUAUCGGUGAUGGAUGGGGAUGCGUCUGAUUAGCUUGUUGGCGGGGUAACGGCCCACCAAGGCGACGAUCAGUAGGGGUUCUGAGAGGAAGGUCCCCCACAUUGGAACUGAGACACGGUCCAAACUCCUACGGGAGGCAGCAGUGAGGAAUAUUGGUCAAUGGACGAGAGUCUGAACCAGCCAAGUAGCGUGCAGGAUGACGGCCCUAUGGGUUGUAAACUGCUUUUAUAAGGGAAUAAAGUGAGUCUCGUGAGACUUUUUGCAUGUACCUUAUGAAUAAGGACCGGCUAAUUCCGUGCCAGCAGCCGCGGUAAUACGGAAGGUCCGGGCGUUAUCCGGAUUUAUUGGGUUUAAAGGGAGCGUAGGCCGGAGAUUAAGCGUGUUGUGAAAUGUAGACGCUCAACGUCUGCACUGCAGCGCGAACUGGUUUCCUUGAGUACGCACAAAGUGGGCGGAAUUCGUGGUGUAGCGGUGAAAUGCUUAGAUAUCACGAAGAACUCCGAUUGCGAAGGCAGCUCACUGGAGCGCAACUGACGCUGAAGCUCGAAAGUGCGGGUAUCGAACAGGAUUAGAUACCCUGGUAGUCCGCACGGUAAACGAUGGAUGCCCGCUGUUGGUCUGAAUAGGUCAGCGGCCAAGCGAAAGCAUUAAGCAUCCCACCUGGGGAGUAC